rnacentral:rRNA from 1 species
GGGUUGUGAGGUUAAGCGACUAAGCGUACACGGUGGAUGCCCUGGCAGUCAGAGGCGAUGAAGGGCGUGCUAAUCUGCGAUAAGCGCCGGUAAGGUGAUAUGAACCGUUAUAACCGGCGAUACCCGAAUGGGGAAACCCAGUGUGACUCGUCACACUAUCAUUAACUGAAUCCAUAGGUUAAUGAGGCGAACCGGGGGAACUGAAACAUCUAAGUACCCCGAGGAAAAGAAAUCAACCGAGAUUCCCCCAGUAGCGGCGAGCGAACGGGGAGGAGCCCAGAGCCUGAAUCAGCAUGUGUGUUAGUGGAAGCGUCUGGAAAGGCGCGCGAUACAGGGUGACAGCCCCGUACACAAAAGCGCAUGUGCUGUGAGCUCGAUGAGUAGGGCGGGACACGUGAUAUCCUGUCUGAAUAUGGGGGGACCAUCCUCCAAGGCUAAAUACUCCUGACUGACCGAUAGUGAACCAGUACCGUGAGGGAAAGGCGAAAAGAACCCCGGCGAGGGGAGUGAAAAAGAACCUGAAACCGUGUACGUACAAGCAGUGGGAGCACCCUUUGGGGUGUGACUGCGUACCUUUUGUAUAAUGGGUCAGCGACUUAUAUUCUGUAGCAAGGUUAACCGAAUAGGGGAGCCGGAGGGAAACCGAGUCUUAACCGGGCGUUAAGUUGCAGGGUAUAGACCCGAAACCCGGUGAUCUAGCCAUGGGCAGGUUGAAGGUUGGGUAACACUAACUGGAGGACCGAACCGACUAAUGUUGAAAAAUUAGCGGAUGACCUGUGGCUGGGGGUGAAAGGCCAAUCAAACCGGGAGAUAGCUGGUUCUCCCCGAAAGCUAUUUAGGUAGCGCCUCGUGAAUUCAUCUCCGGGGGUAGAGCACUGUUUCGGCUAGGGGGCCAUCCCGGCUUACCAACCCGAUGCAAACUGCGAAUACCGGAGAAUGUUAUCACGGGAGACACACGGCGGGUGCUAACGUCCGUCGUGAAGAGGGAAACAACCCAGACCGCCAGCUAAGGUCCCAAAGUCAUGGUUAAGUGGGAAACGAUGUGGGAAGGCCCAGACAGCCAGGAUGUUGGCUUAGAAGCAGCCAUCAUUUAAAGAAAGCGUAAUAGCUCACUGGUCGAGUCGGCCUGCGCGGAAGAUGUAACGGGGCUAAACCAUGCACCGAAGCUGCGGCAGCGAACGUAUCACUUAAAGCGAUUCAGCGGGUUACGAUUGACGGAGCGAAGCGACGUCAAAGCGUAUACAAAGUCGAGUCGGUUUAAGGAUACGUUCGUUGGGUAGGGGAGCGUUCUGUAAGCCUGUGAAGGUGUGUCGUGAGGCAUGCUGGAGGUAUCAGAAGUGCGAAUGCUGACAUAAGUAACGAUAAAGCGGGUGAAAAGCCCGCUCGCCGGAAGACCAAGGGUUCCUGUCCAACGUUAAUCGGGGCAGGGUGAGUCGACCCCUAAGGCGAGGCCGAAAGGCGUAGUCGAUGGGAAACGGGUUAAUAUUCCCGUACUUGGUGUUACUGCGAAGGGGGGACGGAGAAGGCUAUGUUGGCCGGGCGACGGUUGUCCCGGUUUAAGCGUGUAGGUGUGUGUUCCAGGUAAAUCCGGUUCACUUUAACACUGAGGCGUGACGACGAGGCACUACGGUGCUGAAGCAACAAAUGCCCUGCUUCCAGGAAAAGCCUCUAAGCAUCAGGUAACAUCAAAUCGUACCCCAAACCGACACAGGUGGUCAGGUAGAGAAUACCAAGGCGCUUGAGAGAACUCGGGUGAAGGAACUAGGCAAAAUGGUGCCGUAACUUCGGGAGAAGGCACGCUGACACGUAGGUGAAGUGAUUUACUCAUGGAGCUGAAGUCAGUCGAAGAUACCAGCUGGCUGCAACUGUUUAUUAAAAACACAGCACUGUGCAAACACGAAAGUGGACGUAUACGGUGUGACGCCUGCCCGGUGCCGGAAGGUUAAUUGAUGGGGUCAGCGCAAGCGAAGCUCCUGAUCGAAGCCCCGGUAAACGGCGGCCGUAACUAUAACGGUCCUAAGGUAGCGAAAUUCCUUGUCGGGUAAGUUCCGACCUGCACGAAUGGCGUAAUGAUGGCCAGGCUGUCUCCACCCGAGACUCAGUGAAAUUGAACUCGCUGUGAAGAUGCAGUGUACCCGCGGCAAGACGGAAAGACCCCGUGAACCUUUACUAUAGCUUGACACUGAACAUUGAGCCUUGAUGUGUAGGAUAGGUGGGAGGCUUUGAAGCGUGGACGCCAGUCUGCGUGGAGCCGACCUUGAAAUACCACCCUUUAAUGUUUGAUGUUCUAACGUGGACCCGUGAUCCGGGUUGCGGACAGUGUCUGGUGGGUAGUUUGACUGGGGCGGUCUCCUCCUAAAGAGUAACGGAGGAGCACGAAGGUUGGCUAAUCCUGGUCGGACAUCAGGAGGUUAGUGCAAUGGCAUAAGCCAGCUUGACUGCGAGCGUGACGGCGCGAGCAGGUGCGAAAGCAGGUCAUAGUGAUCCGGUGGUUCUGAAUGGAAGGGCCAUCGCUCAACGGAUAAAAGGUACUCCGGGGAUAACAGGCUGAUACCGCCCAAGAGUUCAUAUCGACGGCGGUGUUUGGCACCUCGAUGUCGGCUCAUCACAUCCUGGGGCUGAAGUAGGUCCCAAGGGUAUGGCUGUUCGCCAUUUAAAGUGGUACGCGAGCUGGGUUUAGAACGUCGUGAGACAGUUCGGUCCCUAUCUGCCGUGGGCGCUGGAGAACUGAGGGGGGCUGCUCCUAGUACGAGAGGACCGGAGUGGACGCAUCACUGGUGUUCGGGUUGUCAUGCCAAUGGCACUGCCCGGUAGCUAAAUGCGGAAGAGAUAAGUGCUGAAAGCAUCUAAGCACGAAACUUGCCCCGAGAUGAGUUCUCCCUGAGACUUAAAGUCUCCUGAAGGAACGUUGAAGACGACGACGUUGAUAGGCCGGGUGUGUAAGCGCAGCGAUGCGUUGAGCUAACCGGUACUAAUGAACCGUGAGGCUUAACCUUACAACGCCGAAG